GAUGAACGCUAGCGGCAGGCCUAACACAUGCAAGUCGAGGGGUAGAAGGAGCUUGCUCCUUUGAGACCGGCGCACGGGUGCGUAACGCGUAUGCAAUCUACCUUGUACAGGGGAAUAGCCCAGAGAAAUUUGGAUUAAUGCCCCAUAGUAUAUAACCUUCGCAUGUUGGUUAUAUUAAAGUUCCAACGGUACAAGAUGAGCAUGCGUCCCAUUAGUUAGUUGGUAAGGUAACGGCUUACCAAGACGAUGAUGGGUAGGGGUCCUGAGAGGGAGAUCCCCCACACUGGUACUGAGACACGGACCAGACUCCUACGGGAGGCAGCAGUGAGGAAGAUUGGUCAAUGGUCGCAAGACUGAACCAGCCAUGCCGCGUGCAGGAAGACGGUCCUAUGGAUUGUAAACUGCUUUUAUACAGGAAGAAACCCUCCCACGUGUGGGAGCUUGACGGUACUGUAGGAAUAAGAAUCGGCUAACUCCGUG
rnacentral:rRNA from 1 species